AGAAUCAACGCUGGCGGCGUGCCUAACACAUGCAAGUCGCACGAGAAAGGGGAGCAAUCCCUGAGUACAGUGGCGCACGGGUGAGUAACACGUGAAUCAUCUACCUCCGAGUGGGGAAUAACUGAGAGAAAUCUUAGCUAAUACCGCAUAACACUUACGAGUCAAAGCAGCAAUGCGCUUGGAGAGGAGUUCGCGGCAGAUUAGUUAGUUGGCGGGGUAAUGGCCCACCAAGACGAUGAUCUGUAUCCGGCCUGAGAGGGCGCACGGACACACUGGAACUGAAACACGGUCCAGACUCCUACGGGAGGCAGCAGUGGGGAAUUUUGCGCAAUGGGGGAAACCCUGACGCAGCAACGCCGCGUGGAGGAUGAAGCCCCGUUGGGGUGUAAACUCCUUUCGAUCGGGAAGAUAAUGACGGUACCGAUAUAAGAGCCCGGCUAACUUCGCGCCAGCAGCCGC
rnacentral:rRNA from 1 species